AUUGAACGCUGGCGGCAGGCCUAACACAUGCAAGUCGAACGGUAACAGGAAGCAGCUUGCUGCUUUGCUGACGAGUGGCGGACGGGUGAGUAAUGUCUGGGAAACUGCCUGAUGGAGGGGGAUAACUACUGGAAACGGUAGCUAAUACCGCAUAACGUCGCAAGACCAAAGAGGGGGACCUUCGGGCCUCUUGCCAUCGGAUGUGCCCAGAUGGGAUUAGCUAGUAGGUGGGGUAACGGCUCACCUAGGCGACGAUCCCUAGCUGGUCUGAGAGGAUGACCAGCACACUGGAACUGAGACACGGUCCAGACUCCUACGGGAGGCAGCAGUGGGGAAUAUUGCACAAUGGGCGCAAGCCUGAUGCAGCCAUGCCGCGUGUAUGAAGAAGGCCUUCGGGUUGUAAAGUACUUUCAGCGGGGAGGAAGGGAGUAAAGUUAAUACCUUUGCUCAUUGACGUUACCCGCAGAAGAAGCACCGGCUAACUCCGUG
rnacentral:rRNA from 1 species